GCGUUUGAGCCAUUGAAUGAUGAACAGGAAAAACUUGACUUUAUUCUCCUGCCAUGGGGGGCGCUCUUUUAACGAGAAAAACUCCUUCACAAAUGUGUUGAUGGCUGGACAUUGCAUCAUCCUAGAAAACAUGGAGGCCAGUGAGGACAAAAAUAAAAAGUUAUAAGACUUUUAAAUAUGUGGAUUUUAGGGUUAUCUUUGGCGCCCCCUAGAACCUAAACCGUGGGGUGCAGCGUCAUGAUUUGAAUAACUUUUAAUGGCCAUGGGGUGUAGAUUGGCCUGAGCAAAUGUGGUGCCGGUGGAACGAAAGCCUUCAAAAGGAGUUAGCGAAAUUCCAAUGUGUGCGAAUCUGCAAAAAAUGCGAAAUAACCCUUUAACCGUACAUUUUACAGAUACGUGGCCAUUGACUUUUUCGAAGAUCUUAUUGAAAGACACGUGUAUGUAAAAUUUUGUGUCAAUACGACAAAACAUACAGGCGUAGCACUCAACAAUGUGUAUUUUCACCUUAGUGGACAAGAAAAAAUGGACUUUUUUCUCCUGCCAUGGGGGGGCGCUCUUUUGGCGAGUAAAAAUUCCUUCACAAAUGUGUUGAUGGCUGGACAUUGCAUCAUCCUAGAAAACUUGGAGGCCAGUUGGGACAAAAAUAAAAAGUUAUAAGACUUUUAAAUAUGUGGAUUUUACGGUUAUCUUUGGCGCCCCCUAGAACCUAAACCGUGGGGUGCAGCGUCAUGAUUUGAAUAACUUUUAAUGGCCAUGGGGUGUAGAUUGGCCUGAGAAAAUGUGGUGCCGGUGGAACGAAAGCCUUCGGAGGAGUUAGCGAAAUUCCAAUGUGUGCGGAUCGGCAAAAAAUGCGGAAUAACCUUUUAACCGUACAUUUGACAGAUACGUGCGCAUUGACUUUUUUGUAGAUCUUAUUGAGAUACAUGUGUGUGUCAAUUUUGGUGUCAUUUUGCCAAAGCGUACAGGUGUUACACUCAACAAUGUGUAUUUUCACCUUAGGGGACAAGAAAAAAUGGACUUUUUUCUCCUGCCAUGGGGGGCGCUCUUUUGGGGAGUAAAAAUUCCUUCACAAAUGUGUUGAUGGCUGGACAUUGCAUCAUCCUAGAAAACUUGGAGGCCAGUGAGGGCAAAAAUAAAAAGUUAUAAGACUUUUAAAUAUGUGGAUCUUAGGGUUAUCUUUGGCGCCCCCUAGAACCUAAACCGUGGGGUGCAGCGUCAUGAUUUGAAUAACUUUUAAUGGCCAUGGGGUGUAGAUUGGCCUGAGCAAAUGUGGUGCCGGUGGAACGAAAGCCUUCGGAGGGGUUAGCGAAAUUCCAAUGUGUGCGGAUCUGCAAAAAAUGCGAAAUAACCCUUUAACCGUACAUUUGACAGAUACGCCCGCACUGACUUUUUUGUAGAUCUUAUUGAGAUACAUGUGUGUGUCAAUUUUUGUGUCAUUUUGACAAAGCGUACAGGCGUGACAGUCAAUAGUGUGAAUUUUCACCUUAGGGGGCGCUAUGGAGCCAUUUUGCAUUUUCUUGUUUGGGCGACUUCGGAAUAUCAAAUUUUUCACCAGGCCCGGUCGUCCUGCCAAAUUUCAUGAGUUUUCGCCAGUGGGAAGUGGGCCAUUUUCCAGUUCAAAGGGGAGGAAAAAUAAUAAUAAUAAUAAUAAUAACAAAAGAAGGAAACAUGCAGGAACAAGAGGGCUCUCGCAGCUGCUUAGCAGCUACGCUCGGGCCCUAAUAACAAAAGAAGGAAACUACAGGAACAAGAGGGCUCUCGCAGCUGCUUAGCAGCUACGCUCGGGCCCUAAUAAUAAUAAUAACAAAAGAAGGAAACUACAGGAACAAGAGGGCUCUCGCAGCUGCUUAGCAGCUACGCUCGGGCCCUAAAGAAAGAAAGAAAGAAAGAAGAAAGAAAAACCUAUACAGGAAUAAUAGGGCUCUACGCCCGGCUGCUCUGCAGCUGGCUCGGGCCCUAAAGAAGAAUCCAUCAGGAACAAGAGGGCUCUCGCAGCUGCUUAGCAGCUACGCUCGGGCCCUAAGAAAGAAACAAAGAAAAACCACUUGGGGAAUAAUAGGGCUCUCGCAGCUGCUUAGCAGCUACGCUCGGGCCCUAAAAAGAAGAAUCCAUCAGGAACAAGAGGGCUCUUGCAGCUGCUUAGCAGCUACGCUCGGGCCCUAAAGAAAGAAAGAAACAAAGAAAAACCACUUGAGGAACAACAGGGCCUACGCCCAGCUGCUCUGCCGCUGGCUCGGGCCCUAAGAAAGAAAGAAAGAAACAAAGAAAAACCACUUGAGGAAUAAUAGGGCUCUCGCAGCUGCUCAGCAGCUACGCUCGGGCCCUAAAAAACCACUUGGGGAAUAAUAGGGCUCUCGCAGCUGCUUAGCAGCUACGCUCGGGCCCUAAAAAACCACUACAGGAAUAACAGGGCUCUACGCCCGGCUGCUCUGCAGCUGGCUCGGGCCCUAAAAAACCACUACAGGAAUAAUAGGGCUCUACGCCCGGCUGCUCUGCAACUGGCUCGGGCCCUAAAGAAAAACCACUACAGGAAUAAUAGGGGUCUACGCCCGGCUGCUCUGCAGCUGGCUCGGGCCCUAAAGAAGAUAGAAAGAAACAAAGAAAAACCACUACAGGAACAACAGGGCUCUACGCCCGGCUGCUCUGCAGCUGGCUCGGGCCCUAAUAAACUUGCCUUGACUGCCUUGCCUUUUAUGCAGUUCCCCAGAACGAUAUGUACAACUCCAUGGCUUCAAACUUCAUUUUUCAUCUACGACCACUCUGCUCUCACAAACUCUCCAUGGUGACAGCCAAUAGCACACGCAAAAUCCUUGUUUAAAGAGGGUGGUCCACACCACCUUUGCACCUGUUAUCAAUUGCACACACAAUGAUAGGAGAUCACGCACAACAGGCCCACUAAUAGCCUGUCCAAUUUUUGAGUUUGCACAUGCAAUUUAGUGUUCGCUAUUUGGGAUCUCAGUUGAUCAGGCCCAUAGUGUUUUCAGCUUCAGCCUUUUGCACAUCAACUUCUCAAGCCAGUACACUGCCACACUCUUACCCCACACUCAAUUUUAAAGGGUCAUUCCAGCGUAAAUUUAAGUUAUGGUCAAACACACUGUAACAUCGAGUUAGACACCCCCUUGAGAGAUGAAUGUUGCCGACUGCUUGCUUCUCUAGUUAUACCAACUUUAGUAACAACUGCACAAUAGCAAUACACAGUGGUCUAUGUCUCCACACACGAACCUCAACCAAAAAGCCACUCUAUAGCCACAAAUAGUGCUCAGAACAGCACCUAACUUCAUCAACAGGACAUAUAGGGUCCCAGCCACAGUACUAGCCACCAAACAUCUUUUUAGCUUUGCCUGGUGUCUUUAGCAAAGAGACCAAACACAACUCACCCACUCUCCUCCAGCAGCCGCUUGUGAGGGAGCCCUGGCCAGUCGAUCAGUGAGUGCAGCAAAAAAAAUUGUAAUUAUUACUUCAUGGAAAUGCAAUCAGACUGAGACGCUAAGGCAGAAGAACUACCACUUCUGCAGUGCACAUACAAGAUACACAAAAACUUUGAUUGCAUUUCCAUUAAGUAACAAACAUAAAUGUUAUUCCUUAAGCUGCAAAACUCUGCUGCACUCAGAGUGCAGCCUCACAUAAACACAGCCCGGGUCAGACACUCGGCAGACUGAACACCAGUCUUCAACCCCUAUUAACCCUUCCUGAUGAUUUAUAUAGGGUGACAAUAUGUCCUCUUUUACCCAGACAUGUCCUCUUUUUGGGGGGCUGUCCUGGCUGUCGGGCUUUGUCUGGGGAAGUUUAUAAAAUCCUUCAAAUGUCUGUGAAUUUGUUUGUAAGUUUCAAGUUUGUGUCAUGUGGACUUACUGAGUUAAAAGUGUGUAGAAGACACUUGAGCUGACCCGAAAAACUCUCAAAAUUAAAUCUGUGUGACUCUGUGACUCCGCCCCCAUGUAGUUGUGUCCUCUCUCUGGGAAGUCAGAAUAUGGUCACCCUAGUCUUUGCGGAGUAGAGGCUUUGGGUUUCUUUUUAUUUCCAUAAAAAAGUGCUAAUGCUGAAGCAGCUUCUUCCAGUUACCACCUGGUGGAGCUAAAGAAACCAUGAAAAUAAUAAAAGUUUGGACUGAGAGGAAGUAGGGAGCAUACCCCAUCUUUUCAGGUUGAUGCCAAUUUCAUUAAAAGACUUUAUUAUAAUUAUCAGUAGUUAGUGAGUUAAUGAAGGAAUAGGUGGACACUCCUAAAAAAGUUAAAUUUACUGACGACUGGACUAUUAAGGCAGCGUGACCAUCACCCAGUCCACCCAGUUGCAUGAAAGGUAAUUUUGUGCGGCAACAAAAUGUUGUCCCUACAUUUGGCAGGGCCUUAAAGUCCCAAUUGAUUGUUUUUGUUUGUUUUUUGUUGUUAUUCAUUGGCUUUUAACCCUGCAUGAGACUCGGCUCCUGUUUUAGUGUUUUAUGGUUUGUUUUUAGUUAUUUGUUUCUAUGUUUUUAAAUCAUUUUUUAAAAACAUUGAAACUAUAUUUUACUUUUAAUUCUGCUUUUAUUUUAUCCAUUGUUUUAAUUGUUUUUUGAUUUUUUUUUUUAUCUUGUUGUUUUGUUUAGUUAUGUACAGCACUUUGUUCAGCUGUGGUUGUUUUAAAGUGUUUAACAAAUAAAGUUGAGUUGAGUUGAGUUGAGUUUGUUUGGUUGUUUGUUUUUUCUUUUACUACUUAAACCAUGCAUAAGACGCCAGUAGCACUGUUAAAUAUCGUGUUUACCCAUUUUUAUCCAUUUUAAAAAGUCUUGAUCAACAUUAAUUUUUAAGCUAUAACAUCUCUGCUGCUGGAAAGCGAAAGAUCUCGGUCAUCAAAGACUUGGUUUUAAAGCUUUUAUCUUAUACCAGUACUCUAACUUCUGCAGGGUGGUUGACAUGCUGGAGAAGAUCACCAAUGUCCUUGCUCGUCAUCCGCUUGCAUGGGAUGUUGUGGUUCAUGUUGGCUGCAAUGACAUCUCCGAUCGAUCCUCUAAAGGGGUUAAAGCCAUACACUGUACACUGUGUGCGCAAUUAUUAGGCAAAUGAGUAUUUUGAUCAUAUCAUCAUUUUUAUGCAUAUUUUCCAACUCCAAGCUGUAUAAACUUGAAUGCUUAUUGGAUAUAAGCAUAUCAGGUAAUGUGUAUUAGUGUAAUGAGGGAGCCUGGGGCCUAAGGAGAUCAAAACCCUAUAUCAAGGUGUGCAUAAUUAUUAGGCAGCUUCUUUUCCUCAGGUAGAAUGGGCCAAAAAAGAGAUUUAAAUGACUCCGAAAAGUCAAAAAAUGUAAAAAGUCUUUCAGAGGGAUGCAGCACUCUUGAAAUUGCUUAGAUAUUUGGGUGUGAUCACAGAACCAGCAAACAUUUUGAUGCAAAUAGUCAACAGGGUCGCAAGAAAUGUGUUAAGAAAAAAAGACGCAAAUUAACUGCCAAAGAUUUGAGAGGACACAAACGUAAAGCUACCAGGAACCCAAUAUCCUCCAGUGCUGUCAUAUUCCAGAACUGCCCAGAGGAACAAGAUGAUCAGUGCUCAGAGACAUGGCCAAGGUAAGGAAGGCUGAAACCCGACCACCACUGAACAAGACACAAGUUGAAACGUCAAGACUGGGCCAAGAAAUAUCUGAAGAGAGAUUUUUCAAAGGUUUUAUGGACUGAUGGGAUGAGAGUGACUCUUGACAGAGCAGAUGGAUGGACCCGUGGCUGGAUCAGUAAUGAGCACAGAGCUCCACUUCGAAUCAGACACCAGCAAGGUGGAGGCGGGGUAUUGGUAUGGGCUGGUAUUAUUAAAGAUGAGCUAGCUGGACCUUUUGGGUUAAAGAUGGACUUAAAAUCAACUCCCAAAUCCAAUGCCAGUUUUGAGAAGACACUUUCUUCAAGCAGUGGUACAGGCAAAAGUCUGCAUCUUUCAAGAAAACCAUGAUUUUUAUGCAGGACAAUGCUCCAUUGCAUGCAACAAAGUACUCCACUAUGUGGCUCGCCAGUAAAGGCCUUAAAAACGAAAGAAUAAUGACGUGGCCUCCUUCUUCACCUGACCUAAACCCUGUUGAGAACUUGUGAGCCCUUCUUAAACGGGAAAUUUACAGUGAAGGAAGACAGUACACCUCUCUGAACAGUGUCUGGAACAGUGUCUGGAAGGCUUUGGUUCCUGCAACACAAAAAGUUGAUCGUCAACAGAUCAAGAAACUGAAAGACUCCAUGAAUGGAAAGCUUAUGACUGUUAAUGAAAAGAAGGGUGGCUAUAUUGGUCACUGAUUUUUUUUUUUUAAAUUUCAACAAUUUUUAUUUGUAAAUUGAGUUGUUUGUUUAUCAUUCUCACUUUAACAAGUGAAAAUAAACAAGUGAGAUGGAAAAUUUUUCGUUUUUAAUUUAGUUGCAUAAUAAUUCUGCACACUAUAGCUGCCCCCAAUAAUUGUGCACACAUAGAUAUUCUCCUAAGGAAGUCAAAAUCUCACUUUUACUCCCUUAAAUAUUAAGGUUUGAGGUUUAUUAACAUUUUGGAUUGACCGAGAGCACUGUAGUUGUUCAAAAAUAAAAUUUAUCCUCAAAAAUACAACUUGCCUAAUAAUUGUGCACACAGUGUAUACUAUGGGGCGGCAGUAGCUCAGGAGGUAGAGUGGUCGUCCAAUAACCGGAAGGUUGGCGGUUCGAUUCCCCCCUAAUCCAAGUCUGUCCGUUGUGUCCUUGGGCAAGACACUUAACCUACCUUGCUCCCAGUGUGUGUCCUCCACUGGUGUAUGAUUGUGAGUGUUGUGUGGUGGUGGUCGGAGAGGCCGUAGGCGCAGAAUGGCAGCCACGUUUCCACCACCACCAAAGUGUGACUGUGUGAGCGAAUGAAUGAUGUAUCCAAUGUAAAGCGCUUUGAGGGUCUCUGAUAAAGCGCUAUAUGAAAUCUGAUGCAUUAUUAUUAUUAUUAUUAUGGACAACCUGGUUCUGCCUUCCGCCUGUAUACGGAUUUGAAGCCAAAAAGCUCUCGGUAAUUCCGGGUUUUUCUCCACCUCCUUGAAACCAGAGCUGCGCUGUAGCGAUGCAUGCAUUCGGCCAUGCAGUCGCCGAGAGUCCCUGUGAUGACGCUCGGCUGAAACAGCGUAUCCCCCCCAGGUGAGCUACGCAAUCCCUGAACGCCCAUAGGCUGUACCAGGUGUCAAUCAUAGAAAACAUGAACCCCCUAAUAACUUUUAAAAAUGGAGCGGUACAGAAAAAAAAGGACUUGGGCACAAACCAGUCUUACAAUAACUACAUGUCAACAUCACAAGCAGGGGGGAGAAAAAAUAAUGUUCUGUGUAAUAAAUUUCUAAAGUUUGUCCACAGUCCCAUAAGCUUUGCUGGCGGAGGCGGGAUUUAUGACCUGUACUGCAGCCCACCAUCAGAGGGUGCUGUUCUCGGAGUGGCUUCACCCAGCGAGGAGGCAGACUCUGUCCAUCUUAUAUACAGUCUAUGGUUAAAGCAGCACUUUAACACACUCCUGGACCUCCUUGCUACUGAGGGUUGACGCUUCUUCAUCAGUGGACCAAUCCCACCACACAGUCGCGGCAUUGAACGCCUCAGCCAGACUCUGAAUCUCCAUACAUGGCUUAAAUCCACUUGUCCAGCCCAAAACUUUGUCUUCAUUGACAAUUUCAACCAAUUCUGGAAACGCCCGGUCCUCUUCCACCCCAACGGCAUUCAACUCAGUGGUCUAGGCUCUCGCACGCUAACAGAAAACAUUUCCUACUCCAUUUGGACCUCUCCCUGGCACAUCCUCACCUACCCUGUGCUGCUAAUCACAAGCCAUCUGCUCCACCCAACAAUAAAGUAAACUGCUCCCUCUCAUGGCCAGGAAGAGGAAUUACACACACCUCACUGUCUCCAGCAAAAACAUUCCCUGACUGCCAUAGUCCCUCUGUGUCCACCAACCAGCCUACAGCCCCUGAGCCCAUCACCUCUAUUCCUAUUGCCACUGUCUCAAAUUUAGUUGUAAUUACCCCACAGCCUUCUCUUCUGCUCCUGACCCUUUUCCAAGGCAUUCUCUUGACAGAGAUGCCUUCAGAGCCAGAAAUAGUUUGGGUGUAAUACAUUUAAAUAUUCAUAGCCUGAUACAUAAAUCAGACUGUGUGAAAGUCCUAGUGUCACAGUGCGAUCCUGAUAUUUAAGUUCUGAGUGAAACAUGGCUCAGAAAAAGUGUUACAGACUCAGAUGUGGCUUUGUCUGGAUACACUAAUUUUAGAGUGGAUUGAGUUGGUAAGGGAGGUGGUGUGGCAGUCUAUGUGAAGUCACUCUUUUCUGUGUCUGUUUUAAAUAUGGUUAUGUACUAUACCAAACUGUCUUGGAUUUAUUGCUUUAAAAAUCCAGUUGGGGCCUUUCUCACUGGUAGUGAUUGGUGUGUAUAGACCCCCAUCAGCCAACCCAAAAUCAGUAGCUAUUUUAGCAAAAUUAAUUUCUGAGUAUAUUGACAACGAAAUGCUGGUUGUUGGUGAUUUUAACUGAAAUUGGCUCAAUACCACCUCAGAUUAUUUCAAAGAAAUUAGUUCAGAUCUACAGCUAACACAACUAAUAUCAGAAUCCACAAGACCUAAUCUAAAAGACAACUCAAAAUCAACAUUAAUAGAUCUUUCAUUUUCCAAUAGACCUGAAAAAAUUGUUGCCUGUGGGGUUCUUGAACUGGGUGCUAGUAACCACUGUCCCAUAGCUUGUGUGAGAAGCACCAAACUAAAAAAAAAAAUAAAGUCACACUCAACUCUUAAGAGAAAUUUCAAAGUUUUUAAUGAAAAUCGUUUCCUGGAAGAUUUGAGGCAAAACUUCACAAACUUACAAACUCCCUACAGAGACCACUGAUAGUCAGGUAGCCCUGGACUUUUUCACAAACAAUUUUGUUAAAGUCAUUGGUAAACAUGCUCCCAUUAAAAGGCUCAGAAUUAAAGAAAGAAUUGCUCCAUGGUUCUCACGGGAGCUCUCAGUCAUUUUCACAAAAAGGAAUAAAGCCUGGUCCCAGGGUAGGCACACAGGAGAUCUCUCUUUUAAACAACUUAGAAAUAAAUGCACAACAGCUGUUUGAAAAGCUAAAUCAGAUUAUUAACUGGAACUCAUCAUCCGCUCCACUUCAACCCGGCACUGUUCUGGAAAGCAGCAAAUUUAGAUAAAAGGAAAAACAAUAAUUCACUUCCCGUAACUAUAAAAAUCAAUGAUGGUCUACUUUCAAAUCAAUCCCAAAUAUGCUAUAUCUUAAAUAAACACUUCAUAGCGGCUGGUCAUCUCUCUGAAAAAAAAAAAAAAACUGGAAUCCUUCCAGUCAUUGAUUCCAACAUGAGUUCACAAACUGACAGUCUGAGUGCUUAUAACUGCACCUCCUCCUUCUCUUUCCAAACCUUUUCUCACUUUGAAGUGUUUCAUGCUCUUCAAACCUUAGACACCAGAAGUUCCGCUUGUGAGGACAACUUACACCCCUUCUUUCUAAAACUGGCUGCUCCAAUUAUUUCAAAAAAGCUAUCAUGCAUUUUCAACCUCUCAAUAUCCACAGGCUUCCAAAUCUAUGGAAAUCUGCUCAUGUGGUUCCCCUACAUAAAGGUGGUGCUAAGGAGGAUUUAAAUGACCAUCGCCCAAUCUCCAAAUUAUCCUGUUUAUCAAAAGUUCUGGAAUCCCUGGUCAAUAAUCAACUCAUGUCCUUUCUUGCACACCACUCAAUUCUCAACCCACACCAGUCUGGCUUCAGACAGAAUCACAGCACAGUUUCAGCCAUUACAUUAGUUACAAAUGACAUAAUAUCUGCAUUAGACAAGAGGCAAUACUGCGCUGCUCUCUUUAUAAAUCUGUCGAAAGCUUUUGACACAAUCGAUCACUUCUUACUGUUAAAAAAACUAUCCAGUAUUGGUUUGGAUGAAGGUUCACAAGCAUGGUUUCAGGAUUAUUUGUUUGAGAUAUCUCAAUGUGUUAAAAAAGGGCAAGCCAAAUCAGAUUUUUUAUUGAUAGAUAGAGGAGUGCCACAGGGUUCAGUUUUGGGGCUUUUGCUUUUCACUGUUUAUAUCAAUGACACUGCAAAAUUGUCAUGUACAUCUUUAUGCAAAUGAUGCUAUUGUUUAUUGUGUCGCAAAUACUGUACAAUCGGCCAUUGACAACCUGCAACUUGAUUUUAACAUUCUACACGGGUCUCUUAUUAACCUUAAACUGGUACUAAAUGUAAGCAAGACAAAAUUCAUGAUGUUCUCCAGGGCUAGGAAUGUUACAUCUGAAAACAUAAAGAUAUCUACUUCCAAUGGAUCAAGAAUUGAGACAGCCACUAACUUUAAAUAUCUUGGGAAAUGGCUUGAUGAGGAAUUUACAUUUAAACAUCAUAUAAGUACUCUUGUCACCCAGUUAUGGCAGAGAGUUGGUUUUCUUUACAGAAACAGAGCAUGUUUCUACUGUCGUCGUAAAAAAAUCGUGGAGGCCAUGUUCUUGUCUGUCCUGGACUACGGCGAUAUAAUGUACAGACAUGCUGGAGUUUCAACUCUCAAGCCUGUGGACUUAGUUUACCACUCUGCUCUCCAAUUCAUAACUGGUGUUGGGUACAACACUCAUCAUUGCAUCCUCUAUGACAGGGGUUCUCAAUUAGAAUUGUAAAAGGUCCAGAAAAUAAAUUUUGAGGAAGUCAUAGGUCCACAGUGCAUGCGUGGUGGCGAAAAAUUUUGGCGUUUUUUUUUAUUUCAUUUUUUUACCUUUUUUAUGUAGUUUUAGGCUGAGUGUACUGUACUGUAAAAAUCAGGAGUUAUUGGAAGGCACAAAAACAUUCAUUUUCAGCACACUGUUAUUCUUUCUUACUUAGUAUUACUUAAUAAAAUAGCUUAAUAAAAAGCUUUUUAUUUUAUCUGUUUGUAGCUCAGAUUUUGGGCGGCAAUCUCUAUCAAAAUCGCUUCUUAUAAGGGCGUUUUAUGUUUUCACUUUUUAUCAGAGCAACUGUGCUUUGCACAAAAGACAAAUUGGCUUUGUGCUUGAAGGAGGUAAGCUAAUCAUAUAUUUGUCGGUCCAUUCGUCAGUGAAUCAGCGAUUUUCAGUGUCCACCUUUCUCUGAUUUGCCCUUUUGAUGUCGGGUGCUGGGUGUGAGCAACGCUCCUGCUACAAAGACGUUACCACUGCCUGCGCCGUGCAAAGAAGACAGACUGAAGGAGGCAGAUGUGUGACUGCCGGUUUGCGUAGUUAUCAGCCAAUCAGCGCAUCGUUGUCAUGGGAAUGGCAGCCCAUUAUGCAAGCGGGAGCACGCGCAGUCACACACACACACACAGACACACACACACACACAGGCUCUCUCUCUCUCGCUCUCUCUCUCGGCCAGUCUAACCUCGCGUCAGUCAGUCAGAGAGAGUGCCGUGCCGUGUUGUUGAUUUUUUUAUUUUGCUCUGGGUCCACAAAGAGGUGGUCCGCCUAUUGCGGACCCUGGCUCUAUGAGAAAGUUGGUUGGCCAUCACUUGAUCAGAGAAGGAAUAAGCACUGUUUUUUGUAUGUUUUCAAAUCCCUUACAAACAUGCUCCCACCCUACCUCACAAACCUGUUAAAGUUUUAUGAUUGCUCCUACAUGACCCAUUCUUCUGGUUCACUAACUCUGAAAGGUCUUCGAGUCUACACUGAACUACACAUGUAGUGUAGUGUAGUUAGGACUUUAAUUGUGAUAAAGUUUUAGCCAAAAUCACGUUACCUGUAACAUUUUCAAGGGCUUUUCUUCCACAGAGCUCCAGUAGCUCAUCAGCAAUUCAACUCUGAGUCAAGACAGCGCUGCUCUGCGCACUCCUCUUCAUGCAAACUUGCAGCCUAAUAUUGCCAGUAUAGCAGAAGUGGCAGGUAAUACUGGAGCGAUUCAGCUCUCGGACACUCAUGUAUUUAGAGGACAUGAUAAAAGUUAAUAUCAUAAUUAGCUUUCUUAUGAGCAUCGCAAUCUGCUAAUACACGUGCUUGUUCUGCCGUCGUCCUCUAUACUUUUCCGGGUGUGGCCUGCAUAGUGGAGCUCUGGGAGUGGAACUUGGAUUUGUGAUGCAGGAAAUCUCUCUGCGUCUGAUCCUGUAGUUUGGGUCUGCCAGAGAUUCACAGCCAUUUGAAUGAAAAAAUAUGCAGAAAUGCAAUUUUGCACUUACUUUUCUCAUGAUAUGUCCUGUAGCAUCAGAAAA